UGUCCCCGUAGCUCAACUGGACAGAGUGUCGGCCUCCGAAGCCGAAGGUUGCAGGUUCGAAUCCUGCCGGGGACGU
rnacentral:tRNA from 1 species